ACGGAAGGCAGCAGUGGGGAAUAUUGGGCAAUGGGGGAAACCCUGACCCAGCAACGCCGCAUGAAGGAAGAAGGCCCUCGGGUUGUAAACUUCUUUUACCAGGGACGAACAAAAUGACGGUACCUGGAGAAAAAGCAACGGCUAACUACGUGCCAGCAGCCGCGGUAAUACGUAGGUUGCAAGCGUUGUCCGGAUUUACUGGGUGUAAAGGGCGUGUAGGCGGAGCUGCAAGUCAGAUGUGAAAUCCCGGGGCUCAACCCCGGAACUGCAUUUGAAACUGCUGAUCUUGAGUAUCGGAGAGGCAAUCGGAAUUCCUAGUGUAGCGGUGAAAUGCGUAGAUAUUAGGAGGAACACCAGUGGCGAAGGCGGAUUGCUGGACGACAACUGACGGUGAGGCGCGAAAGCGUGGGGAGCAAACAGGAUUAGAUACCCUGGUA
rnacentral:rRNA from 1 species